GACGAACGCUGGCGGCGUGCUUAACACAUGCAAGUCGAACGAUGAAGCUGAAGCUUUUUGUUUUGGUGGAUUAGUGGCGAACGGGUGAGUAAUACGUGAGUAACCUGCCCUUGUCUUUGGGAUAAGCCUGGGAAACUGGGUCUAAUACCGGAUAUUCUGCUUCUGCCGCAUGGUGGGGGUUGGAAAGAUUUUUUUGGAUGGGGAUGGGCUCACGGCCUAUCAGCUUGUUGGUGGGUGAUGGCCUACCAAGGCGUCGACGGGUAGCCGGCCUGAGAGGGUGACCGGCCACAUUGGGACUGAGACACGGUCCAU
rnacentral:rRNA from 1 species